CCUACGGGUGGCAGCAGUGGGGGAUAUUGCACAAUGGGGGGAACCCUGAUGCAGCGACGCCGCGUGGGUGAAGACGGUCCUCUGGAUUGUAAACCACUGUCCCCAGGGACGAAAAUGACGGUACCUGGGGAGGAAGCUCCGGCUAACUACGUGCCAGCAGCCGCGGGAAUACGUAGGGAGCGAGCGUUGUCCGGAAUUACUGGGUGUAAAGGGAGCGUCGGCGGGGAUGCAAGUUGGGUGUAAAAACUACCGGCUCAACUGGUAGUCGCACUCAAAACUGCAGCUCUUGAGUGAAGUAGAGGCAGGCGGAAUUCCUAGUGUAGCGGUGAAAUGCGUAGAUAUUAGGAGGAACACCAGUGGCGAAGGCGGCCUGCUGGGCUUUUACUGACGCUGAGGCUCGAAAGUGUGGGUAUCGAACAGGAUUAGAUACCCGUGUAGUC
rnacentral:rRNA from 1 species